rnacentral:rRNA from 1 species
GACGAACGCUGGCGGCGUGCUUAACACAUGCAAGUCGAACGGAAAGGCCCUGCUUUUGCGGGGUGCUCGAGUGGCGAACGGGUGAGUAACACGUGAGUAACCUGCCCUUGACUUUGGGAUAACUUCAGGAAACUGGGGCUCAUACCGGAUAGGAGCUCCUGCUGCAUGGUGGGGGUUGGAAAGUUUCGGCGGUUGGGGAUGGAAUCGCGGCUUAUCAGCUUGUUGGUGGGGUAGUGGCUUACCAAGGCGUUGACGGGUAGCCGGCCUGAGAGGGUGACCGGCCACAGUGGGACUGGGAUACGGCCCAGACUCCUACGGGAGGCAGCAGUGGAGAAUAGUGCACAAUGGGCGGAAGCCGGAUGCAGCAACGUCGCGUGCGGGAUGACGGCCUUCGGGUUGUAAACCGCUUUCGCCUGGGACGAAGCGUGAGUGACGGUAAUGGGUAAAGAAGCACCGGCUAACUACGUG